AGCAACAAGAACGAGUUGUACAAGAAUGUCAGUGCUUUAUAGAGAAACUGUCUGGAUGAUUCGCCAAGGUAAUGGUGAAACUAAGCGGCAAUGACUACGUUUAAAUACGUUUUACUGCCUAUAAACAAUUUCCGCAAUUUAAUAAAUGCAUGUUUUACUGCUGGAUUUCGACGGGAAACUGCCAUUACGGUCAGGGAUGUUUACUUUAAACACCAAACAAAACAUUUUGGUCGACCCGAUUCCUACCGGUUGUAAAGGUGUGAUUGUUCAGCAAUAAAUAUACAUAUGGGCUCAUAGUAAACAACGCUUGCCGACUGUUGUACUUUCCGUCGUUUCUCGUUUCUGUUCUAUUGAGUAGGCUGGAGCAACAACAACUGUGGGUGGCGAUUUUCGAUCUUCUUGAAACGUUUCUGCCUUCUGAUAGCGUCUGCUACAUAUCUGGAAUGCAUGAAUGAUAGGUGAUAGGAUUGAGCGGCCCUUCCGGUUGCGGAUUCGGAUCAACGUUCCAACAAUCUUCGGUCACAUCCUGGUUGCCCACAUACCAGGAGAAGGAGCAUGGGGGAUCGCACGGCAAGUGGCAGCAGAGAGCGCUGGGAUACGCCGGACAAUGUUGGUUAGCGCACGGCGAAUGCGGACACGGGAUGUCCGGGGGCGGACAUUUCACAAACGGACAGUGCUCCUCUCGCUUCCUACGGGAGACGGCUCCGGAGCUGGCGCAAUUGACUUGUCGGUUGUUAACAUAAUAGCGGGCAUUGCAUCCGCCGCAGUAAUCAUCGCGACAUUCGGCACCUGGAAAGGCCGGGCAGGAGCUGACAGAACACGGUGAACGGAGACAGUUAUAUACCGGCUGACCAUUCGGACAACCUGAAACAACAUCGGUUAACAGUUCAACCCUCUAUCUGAAAAAUACCGAUGCGUCCGGCUGUCAAGCCAGCUGUUGUGAUGAUUAUAAGAAUGGUGCAGCCAAUAUCAAAUCCGUGAAACAUUUUUGUAUUGCGAUGUUUCCUGAGGUUUACGAACGCAAACUGUUCGGAUGAAUUGUAACAGUGAAAAUGCGACAACGGUCGGCAGCUUCCUAUUAAUACUGCUUACGGGUU